rnacentral:rRNA from 1 species
AUUGAACGCUGGCGGCAGGCCUAACACAUGCAAGUCGAACGGUAACAGGAAGAAGCUUGCUUCUUUGCUGACGAGUGGCGGACGGGUGAGUAAUGUCUGGGAAACUGCCUGAUGGAGGGGGAUAACUACUGGAAACGGUAGCUAAUACCGCAUAACGUCGCAAGACCAAAGAGGGGGACCUUCGGGCCUCUUGCCAUCGGAUGUGCCCAGAUGGGAUUAGCUAGUAGGUGGGGUAACGGCUCACCUAGGCGACGAUCCCUAGCUGGUCUGAGAGGAUGACCAGCCACACUGGAACUGAGACACGGUCCAGACUCCUACGGGAGGCAGCAGUGGGGAAUAUUGCACAAUGGGCGCAAGCCUGAUGCAGCCAUGCCGCGUGUAUGAAGAAGGCCUUCGGGUUGUAAAGUACUUUCAACGGGGAGGAAGGGAGUAAAGUUAAUACCUUUGCUCAUUGACGUUACCCGCAGAAGAAGCACCGGCUAACUCCGUG